GGGGAAGUCUUGCGCAAUGGCCGAAAGGCUGACGCAGCGACGCCGCGUGGGGGAGGAAGGGCUUCGGCUCGUAAACCCCUGUUGCCCGGGCGAAGCAUCCCUUUUCGAGGGGACUGACGGUACCGGGUGAGGAAGCACCGGCUAACUCCGUGCCAGCAGCCGCGGUAAUACGGAGGGUGCGAGCGUUGUCCGGAAUCACUGGGCGUAAAGGGCGCGUAGGUGGCCGAGCAAGGUUGCGGGUGAAAGCCCGGGGCUCAACCCCGGGUCGGCCGUGGCAACUACUUGGCUUGAGCACUGUAGGGGCGGGUGGAAUUCCGGGUGUAGCGGUGGAAUGCGUAGAGAUCCGGAAGAACACCGGUGGCGAAGGCGGCCCGCUGGGCAGGAAGGCUCGCAAGAGCGAAAGCGUGGGGAGCAAACA
rnacentral:rRNA from 1 species